rnacentral:rRNA from 1 species
GAUGAACGCUGGCGGCGUGCCUAAUACAUGCAAGUCGAGCGAACAGACGAGGAGCUUGCUCCUCUGACGUUAGCGGCGGACGGGUGAGUAACACGUGGAUAACCUACCUAUAAGACUGGGAUAACUUCGGGAAACCGGAGCUAAUACCGGAUAAUAUAUUGAACCGCAUGGUUCAAUAGUGAAAUACGGUUUUGCUGUCACUUAUAGAUGGAUCCGCGCCGCAUUAGCUAGUUGGUAAGGUAACGGCUUACCAAGGCAACGAUGCGUAGCCGACCUGAGAGGGUGAUCGGCCACACUGGAACUGAGACACGGACCAGACUACUACGGGAGGCAGCAGUAGGGAAUCUUCCGCAAUGGGCGAAAGCCUGACGGAGCAACGCCGCGUGAGUGAUGAAGGUCUUCGGAUCGUAAAACUCUGUUAUUAGGGAAGAACAAAUGUGUAAGUAACUAUGCACGUCUUGACGGUAACUAAUCAGAAAGCCACGGCUAACUACGUG